UACGUAGGGUGCUAGCGUUGUUCGGAAUCAUUGGGCGUAAAGCGCGUGUAGGCGGUCAGGCAAGUCAGAUGUGAAAUCCCUGAGCUCAACCGAGGAAGUGCAUCCGAAACUGCUUGGCUAGAAGACGGUAGAGGAAGGUGGAAUUCCUAGUGUAGAGGUGAAAUUCGUAGAUAUUAGGAGGAAUACCGGUGGCGAAGGCGGCCUUCUGGGCCGAUCUUGACGCUGAGACGCGAAAGCGUGGGGAGCAAACAGG
rnacentral:rRNA from 1 species